rnacentral:misc_RNA from 1 species
UCUCCGUAGGUGAACCUGCGGAGGGAUCAUUACCGAGCUCAUGCCCUUACGGGUAGAUCUCCCACCCUGUGUUAUUAUUACCUUUGUUGCUUUGGCGGGCCGCCAGGCUCCGGUCAGGCUAUCGGCUUCGGCUGGUAAGCGCCCGCCAGAGGACCCUAUAUCCUGAUUAUUAGUGUCGUCUGAGUACUAUAUAAUAGUUAAAACUCUCAACAACGGAUCUCUUGGUUCUG